AGUGAACGCUGGCGGUAGGCCUAACACAUGCAAGUCGAACGGCAGCACAGUAAGAGCUUGCUCUUACGGGUGGCGAGUGGCGGACGGGUGAGGAAUACAUCGGAAUCUACUUUUUCGUGGGGGGUAACGUAGGGAAACUUACGCUAAUACCGCAUACGACCUACGGGUGAAAGCAUGGGAUCUUCGGACCUUGCGCGAUUGAAUGAGCCGAUGGCGGAUUAGCUAGUUGGCGGGGUAAAGGCCCACCAAGGCGACGAUCCGUAGCUGGUCUGAGAGGAUGAUCAGCCACACUGGAACUGAGACACGGUCCAGACUCCUACGGGAGGCAGCAGUGGGGAAUAUUGGACAAUGGGCGCAAGCCUGAUCCAGCCAUACCGCGUGGGUGAAGAAGGCCUUCGGGUUGUAAAGCCCUUUUGUUGGGAAAGAAAAGCAGCAGGUUAAUACCCCGCUGUUCUGACGGUACCCAAAGAAUAAGCACCGGCUAACUUCGUG
rnacentral:rRNA from 1 species